rnacentral:rRNA from 1 species
AGCAGCCGCGGUAAUUCCAGCUCCAAUAGCGUAUAUUAAAGUUGUUGCAGUUAAAAAGCUCGUAGUUGAAUUUCGGGAUCAGUUCGCUGGUCGUGCCUCUGGUAUGUACUGGUGUUUCUGGUUCCUCCCUUCUGAAGAACUGUCAUGUCAUUAAUUUGGUGUGGCGGGGAAUCAGGACUGUUACUUUGAAAAAUUAGAGUGUUUGAAGCAGGCUCGCGCUUGAAUACAUUAGCAUGGAAUAAUGAAAUAGGACGUUCGAUCCUAUUUUGUUGGUUUCUAGGAUUGACGUAAUGAUUAAUAGGGAUAGUUGGGGGCAUUAGUAUUCAAUUGUCAGAGGUGAAAUUCUUGGAUUUAUUGAAGACUAACUACUGCGAAAGCAUUUGCCAAGGAUGUUUUCAUUAAUCAAGAACGAAAGUUAGGGGAUCGAAGACGAUCAGAUACCGUCGUAGU